CCUCUGCUUAUGGACGAAUUUAGCCCCCCCCCCCCCAGUUGGCUCUGCUCUGGGGUCUCCACCUUUCCUCCAGGCCUGCUUCCCCAGGGGCUGGGAGUGGGGGGCAGCGUGUGCUGAGGCGCCGGCCCUGGAGAAGCCAGGAGAAGCUUGGAGAAGUUCGGAGACGUGCCCUUGAGCUGCUGCCUGGACCUUGGAGGGCACCCGCCGCCGCCGCCGAGGCCCAGGCCCUGCUCUGAGCUCUGGAGGGACGCAGCCGGCACAGCCCCAGCUGGAAGUGAGGGACCAGGGACCCAGCGGGCCCACCCGGAACCACCAGGACCCGACAGCACGAGAGCUACCCAGGGCACAAGACACCACAGGCCACAGAUCAAUAAACCAAAAGCCGAAAAGAGCUCCCUUCCAAGGACGGCUGUGGAGCCCAGAUGGCAAGGGGCUUGCUGCACCCACACCUGAGCCACCAAGGGACAGUCAGGCACCAGGAGCAGACCCCCUGACUCACAGAUGCCUGUGGUGUGGCUCUGAAUACACCCCGGCUUCCCUGGGCCUGAGGGGAGAGGGGCUCCAUGAACUGAAGGAAACAAGGCCCUGGCACAGACCCUGGCACUUGGAGGGCUGAACCCGUGGACACCUCUGCACAGCCCUGGGGGUCUGAAGACACUCACCUCUGUGGGGCUGGGGCUGGCCACAGGCCUCAGUUCUGAGCGCGAGGGGACCGCCUGGGCCACAGGCC